rnacentral:rRNA from 1 species
UACGAAGGGGGCUAGCGUUGCUCGGAAUGACUGGGCGUAAAGGGCGCGUAGGCGGAUGGCACAGUCAGAUGUGAAAUUCCCGGGCUUAACCUGGGGGCUGCAUUUGAUACGUGUUGUCUUGAGUUCGGAAGAGGGUCGUGGAAUUCCCAGUGGUAGAGGUGAAAUUCGUAGAUAUUAGGAAGAACACCGGUGGCGAAGGCGGCCAUCUGGCUCGGUACUGACGCUCAGGCGCGAAAGCGUGGGGAGCAAACAGG